rnacentral:rRNA from 1 species
UACGGAGGGUGCAAGCGUUAAUCGGAAUUACUGGGCGUAAAGCGUGCGCAGGCGGUUUGCUAAGACCGAUGUGAAAUCCCCGGGCUUAACCUGGGAACUGCAUUGGUGACUGGCAGGCUAGAGUAUGGCAGAGGGGGGUAGAAUUCCACGUGUAGCAGUGAAAUGCGUAGAGAUGUGGAGGAAUACCGAUGGCGAAGGCAGCCCCCUGGGCCAAUACUGACGCUCAUGCACGAAAGCGUGGGGAGCAAACAGG